UGGCACAAUGUGCAGUGUGUUGCCCCAGGGUCUCUGGUUUGAGUCCAAGUUCACAAUACUAAGUGUAGCAUGUUGUCCAUGUGUCUGUGUGGGCUUCCUCCCAUCUCCCUAAAACAUGAUAGCUAUGCUAAAGUGCACGGUGUCCUAUUUGGGGUGUGUUUUUGGCAUGGCCACCAGAUCCACUGCAACCCUGACCAAAAUAAAGCAGUUACUGGCGAAUAAUAAAUAUAGUAAUCCUUCGCUAGCUACAGCUGUCUAGCAAAUCCCAUCAGAUGGGAUAAAGCCAAAGGUGACAGCUAUUUUUGACUACAUUUGUUACCAUAUUUGCUAAACCAAUUUUCAUCUCACGAUGACUCACUUUUAAAACAUUUUACAAUGAAAUAAGGGCACCAAUUACUUCAAGCAAACUAGAAAAGUUUUGUUAAAUUAAAGCAGAAGUAACAACUUGAGAGAACAUUUAUUAAUAUGGGUUACAUUGAUAUUGAAAUAUUUAAUUUUGAGGUUUUUGUUUUUCAUCUUUUUUCCCAGAUUCUAGUAACAGCUAAGCAGACAACCAAGUCUGCAAGUCUGAUCAUUUGGAGUGGUGAUGGCUAGCAAGUAUUUCCUCAGAUAACAUGUAAAACCAGCCACCUGCUUUGUCAAGUCAAGCCAAGAUGACUGCAGCAUCAUUAUUUGAGCUCACAAUUUUUAAACGCGGCUGCACUGGAGAACGCAUCUUUGUAUUUGCUUUAAUGUUUACAUAAGAUUUCAUUAGUUGAAUUGGAAAAGAUGUGAGUCAAGUUAGUCAUCACUCACCUAAGUAAAAGAAAAACAAUAGAUUGAUGGAUAGAUGGAUAGAUAUUCACUACUUUGGAAUUCAGGAUUUGUGAAGCAACACUGACAUUUUUUGCUACGUCAAAACUUUUUUUGUGGUUGAUAUUUUGCAUAAUUACAGUGCAAUUUUAGUUGCAUUAGUCAUGUUAGUCAUUUUAGCAAUUUUCCUACACGUGAGAAAGAUGCAAGGUGUAAUUUCUAAAUUCCAGCUGGUGCACAUACCUCAGUAUGACAUGUGCAGUUUAGGUCUUGGUGACAACCUUGUUUAUUAUUUGGAAAGACGUCACACAAUAUCGUAAAAUUUGUGAUUUGAACCUGUCAGUGUUGUAAGACAGCGCACCUUGUUGGAAAUGGUUUAUUUAAUCUCCACAAGCUUGCUAUGCGAUCAACAGGUUCAUCUCACAUGAUUUUCCUGACAUGAUAGAUAGAUAGAUAGAUAGAUAGAUAGAUAGAUAGAUAGAUAGAUAGAUAGAUAGAUAGAUAGAUAGAUAGAUAGAUAGAUAGAUAGAUGUAGUAGUAUGUGUAUAAGAAUAGUAUGUGCAUAGGAAUAUGUGCUAGCUGUAUAGACAGUACAAUAUGUUUAAAAAAAUCUGUGCAUCAUGUACACUGUCUGUGUAUUAUGUACACUGCAAGUACAAGAGAUACCAAGUAAUAUACAGUGUAUGUACAGAUAAUAUAUACAUAAGGUGGUGUAACAUAAACUGGGGUAAGCAAUGCAUUAACAGUUAUAUAUAUUUAUAGUUAGAAAGGAGUGUAUGGAAGGAGGUUGAACAUUGAAGGAUUAUUCAGUUUUAGGCUACUUUUUGUAGCACACAAUUAACUGCAGUCAGCCUCUGAUUAGCAACUUGUCAAAAGCUGUAAAAACUGGAAAUUCCAAACAUUCAUUUAACGGUGAAUACAUUGAAUCCUGGCGAGCGGCACAUUACCGUCUUGGGAUGUAAUUGUGACAUGUUUUGUCAGCGUUGGCUGGAUACCUGGGUGUUAGCCUGGGAUGGUUUUUGUCUUGUUUUUGCUGACACCUUCUAUAAAGGCUUUGUAUAAUUGGCAAUGAGAUAGAUUGUUAGCUGCUGUUUAAGCUAGGUAAUGUUGAGCAUGGGCUUGUUUCCCAGCUGCCUAGCAACAUUGUGCACAUGGCUUUCUUGAACAUUUAGUGUAUUUUGUGUGUGUGCGCUUAACUUCAAAAACGCAUUUACAAGCUGCACCUGAAAGCCAAAAGAGCUCUUAUGACUUCAUUUGAAUAAGGAAGUGAGUCGUUAAUCAAACAUAACCCAAACGUCAUCAAACCACUGUCCACCAGCUCUUUUCUGGAUAUAUGUGCCACUUUCUCCAGACCUCAGAUAUUUAAACGUGUCAUCUCAAAAAUACAAUAUUAAUUGACGUUGAAAUCGAUCGACAUCUAGACAUUAAUCAUGUAGAGGAGCUCUAUUAUCUAUUGUCUUGUCAGCUUUUGGUGUUUUAUGAGGCAAAGCAGAUUUCGCAUCGACAUUAGUCAGUAAUUCGGAUCAGAUCUGCCUCUUACAUAAGCAUUUUCGCUGCUCUCAUUUCAGCCCCAGCUGACUAAACGAAGCUGCAGCUCUCUGUAGAGUAGAAUUACGACAUGCAGUUCACUUCCGCCUCAAAUGCACUAGUCAGCAGCGACACACACAUACGCACAUGCACAAAAACACACACACAUGGCCACGUCGCUGAACAGCGUGUUCCGUUUCUGUACAGCCGCAGGCAAAACAGUCAAAUAAAGUGACAGACUACAUGUUUUGCAUACUGUACCAAGUACACUCUGCUCAUGGCCAACAUUUUGUGGCAAAUGUCAAGGACACUUUUUUGUGAAACAAAUAUCAGUAGCAAAGAUACAAAGAAUGCUUUAUUGCUAUUUGCAAGUAAAUCCUUUAGAAAGCUAUGGGUGGAGCUCAUCAAUGGUUCAAAAGAUCAUUACAACAAAACAGUUAAAAAUAGAUCAAUUGAAAUACAAAAGGUCAUUAAGAAUGAAGCGAAACUCGAUAAACUGGCCAAUUAUAUACUUACAUUGACAUCAAAUAUGCAAAGUGAAGAACUUAAAAAUGACAGAAACACUAACACUAAUAAUAAUACUAUAACAUUCUAAUACAAAAAUAAUCUAGGACAUAGUUUUGUGGCUCAGCCAAGCACAAAGAGUUACUGUUACCUCCCUGAAGCUGAUUUAUUGUUCUAUUCCUCGUAUACCUCAGCUAUUUGAGGAAGCUUAGGAUUUAUUCACGAACAACACGUCAUAUUUAUAAUGGUCACAUUUAUAAUGGUCACAUUUCAUUUUGUGAAUUGUCAGCAAAACAAGUUAGUUCCUCUUAGGACUUGAUGUUUUAACAGCCAUUAACAGUCAUUCCCUCAGCAGCUUCGGCUUGUCAUGUUACCAGGGAAGCAGAAAGUACGAAGUCAUCUGUCCUGAAGACUCUCAUGUGGCAGAAAACCUACUGACUGUAGACUGAAAGUGCUAACACUGGAGAUUCCUUCCAUCAAUAUAAAUAAAUCGUUCCUUAUUUGAAUUACUGUCAGUACUACUGCGAGAGCUGGCAUUAUGGAAACUCACUUCUGACAAAUCAGAUUUAUGAAUUUUCACACCAUAGUGUGUAUCAAUUUAUACUGUAUAAUAUAUAUCAUUAUGACAUCAUAUAUUGUAUAGUAUAGUAUAGUAAAGUAUAGUAUAGUAUAACAUAGCAUAGCAUAGUGUAGUAUGAAAUCCUGACACAGCUUUCUGAUACUCUGCACAAUAAACAUGCUACAUUAUCCACCAGCAUGCACACUUGCACACCAUCACAUACUAUAGUGUUCGCUAUAGUGAUUCAAGCACAUAUUAUCUUACACUCAUGUUUCUACUCAGUGAAGUCCUUUAUGGUGACUUUGCCCUAGUAUCAUGCCAUUGAACCCAAAGGGUAAACCCCUAGUAAGAUGGUUAGAUAAGACUGCUCAGUAUUGUGGGGACAUCCCUACCCCACGAUGGAUUUGUUUCGAGUAAACGUACCUCAACCAUCAUCUGUCUCCGACAUGGAAGCUGUUUGUGUCUAUCUAUAUACUAUUUGUGACUAUUUUCACUCUGAUAAAGAACAUAUGAGAUUAAGAUAACUCCGGCUGAGGCAUUACGUCUCUUUGUGUGCUGCAACCAGAAUAAAGGCAGCGUUACAGAAAUUGAGAAAAAUAUUGACUUGUGAAAAAAAAAAUCAAAACAGUUUUUUUCUUCAGGUGUUGGGGCUGAUGCUGUAAUGGCAAAGAUGAUCAUUGUGAAUUUGCUAAUGGUACUGUAGUUGUUUUUGAACGAACAGCUCAAACACCUCUAUUUUCCACCUUAAAUGAAAACAGGGCACUCAAAAGUUUUGUAACCACAAAAAGGAAAAGCAGUGCAGAAGUUUAAAUGAACACUUAAUUCAAGGUUCCACGCUUUACCAUGCGUCAGCCCCUUAGGAGGCUUCCUGGAAUUGUUGGCUAGACAAACAGUUAGCAAACACAGCCUGACAAGCUGCCUGUCGAUCUGGCUUAGCUGAUUCUCAUGGGAGGAAGUCCACUAGUCCGCUACUGGGCUGGGUGGGGUUGUAGUGGUGUUAGGAAAGGGUCAGGUGAUCACCAGCCUGUCUGUCUAUAACCUCUUCCAAGAAUGAAUGAAGACCUAACAUUGAUUAGUAUAAUGCCAGCCAUAUCCACGUGCUGUUUACUCCACUUCUGUUCACCAUAUGUUUAUUGGACGGUAAUGCAGCACCAGAUUGCUCCUCCCAGCUGCCUGCUUGCUACUUACACAUGUAUCCGUUUUAAAGACCACGUUCUGAGGUUUUGUUUUUUUGAGAGAGAGCCUUCCUGGAAUAAGAUGCAAUCUGAAAUGAGUAAUCUGAUCUGAGCAGGCGUAACGUGGGACUACAGGAAGCAGGCCUGGAAAGGAGAACGGCAUGCUGCCAAGGCAAAGGCUGCUGGGAAAGGGUGGAUGCUGCCAAGCGGGGCCUCAGUCGCCGGCGUCAGAAGCACACAUCUUUGUUCUCUGAGACCUGGUGUUCUGCCACGGGCCUCAUUUCAGCCUCCGCAUUAUGGCUGCCCUGGACAUGCGCCAGACUACUGAGAGCUCGCUACCUCUCCCACUUUUCUGCUCUCUCUGUUUUUCCAUCUCUCUCUCUCUCUCUCUCUCUCUCCUGCUCUCCCUUAUUCAUCAGGUCAUUUACGGCUUGCUGCCAAACAUUCUGCUGUUGCCAUGGCAGCCUGGAGAACGGAACGUUGGAGAAGCGCAGCAAAAGCAAGUCUUUCCUGGAUCCAGAUGUGCCACAUCUGCAGGCGUUGGAAGAGCAGACAGCAAUAGCUAGGCAAAAUAAUAAUAAUAGAAAAAACAUGAUCCGUUUCAAAAUCCUCUCGGUCUAAAUGAGAAAAUAGGAUAGUGUGGGUUUUUUAGGAAGAGUGUACUGUUGGACUGUAAACGCUGUAGUGGGUUUUGCCUUGAGUAACACAUUUAUUCAGGAUAGUGAGAAGGUUGUUACCAGCUCCAAACAGAAAUCAAGCGAGGUAGGCAGUAGUCUCCCAGGAUAAAGGCUGUCAUAUUCGUAAACAGGUGCUUUAUUUGGGUCAAACAUUUUUCUCUCGUGUAUCUCUCUGUACAACAAAAAUCACUUUAUCCAAGGCAGUUGUUACAGUUAUAAAAACAUUGUGUGUCACAUUACCUUGCUAACAUAAUUUGCACCAGGAGCUUCUAGCUAGUUUGUGCUAGUUAACAUGUGGUGGACUUGCAAACUGUAAGCAAAGCUAGAAUGAUAAUUAGCUUUCCACUAGCUAGCUAGUGUAUGUUAAAGCUAGUGCACUGUGGUGUAAUGUGCUGUGCAGAAAACCGGAAGUUAGUUCAGGAUCUAUUUUCAGGUGACUUGUCACAAAAUAGUGAAUAAAUAAAUCAUACACAGUGACAAUUUCUGGUUUAAAUGCUGAGGAACAGCUACUAAGCCAACUGCCUCUAGAAUAAAAUGCAGCUAUAGUCAGUAGUAAGCCUUAUUUUCUUUCUUUUUAUUAAAAAAAAUAUUAAAGGAAAAGUGAAACCGAUGAUGACUUUGGAUUUGAAUGUUUCUGACACAUAAUAAUUUUCCCUGACACGUAACACCCUCUCAACUGCAACCUCAGAGCUUCAGGGAGCAAAAUGGUAAAGUCAUCAACAAAACCUCAGUUUAACUGCCGUUUUUUUCUCUCUCCUUAUUUCCCUCUGUCUCUCGCCCCUAAUAACUGGUGUCUUUGAGCUUGAUUGUUUCCCCAAAGGUUCCCUGCUAUCUCAGCUGCUUGCAAUACAGGUAACUGACAUGAGCAGUUUUCACAUGGCCUCCAAAAAUAACACAGGCGCGGCAAUGCUCUCUGUGACGUAACUAAGCCCCAGAGCAAGACCCGGCAAAUAACGACAGCUUAUGUAACGUCCAGACAGUCCUGUGUCUCUCUCUUUCUGUCUCCUUCUGACAUCAAAUGCUGCCAUGCCAUAAUUUAUUGCAAUUCACUGCUUGUUUAGGAGGAUGGACUGUUCAGAAAGAGUCUUUUCAACAACAGUGAAAAGAUUAGAAUUUCUUUUUUAAGUUAUGAAAGCAUCAUUUUUCCCUGUUCACCAUGUCAAUGUUGCAUGAGACUCUAAACUCUGAGGACAGGAGACAUGCUCCAGAAAUAAAUUUUAAUCCUACGAUAAUUGCCUACUCUGAUCGUUUUCCUGGAAUAGCAAAUUAUCAGAAGUAUUUCAAACGUGUUAUAGCACUGCCAUGUGCCAAAAAUUACAACAUUUAUCUCUUUAUAGUUACAUUCACUGUUGUGGAAUGUCCAAGAAACAAGCUAGUUAGAAUAACACAGCUAUAAAUAGGCAUUGUGUGCUUAGAUGAAAACAUAGCUUGUACUAUUAGCAAAAAACUUUGCUGAAACAUUGGUGAAUUUUAAAUAAACGCCAAACAAAAACAAUAUUGUGUGUCAAUUGAAACUAUUGAAACUCCUUAAAAACUCCUUAAAACGUUUUAUGCUGAAUGUUAUCUUAGUUUGAAGUUUCUCACUCUAAGUCUUCUCUUUGUGGUUUGGAUGACAUUCUUGUGAAAGCAAGCCCUCCCUUUAUGAGUACUAGUGUUAAGAAAACCUUGGUGAUACAUCACUCAUGAAUCAACUUCUCGUUUCCAAGCAUCUUGAGCCGUUUCCUGGCUUCCUUUUGCUCCUGUCAUUGGGCCCAGAUGAAGCUCCGCCUGCCAUGCCGUACGGUGUGACCGCAGCAAUUUCCCCUGCUCUUUAUCAGGGACACCAGCUGGCAGUGAGUACGGUUCGUCCCAAGGUGCUUACGGAGAAGAGCUCAGGUUGUGGUGUAUUGGAGGACAUCUGAGUGGCAGCUUGGGGGAACGGAAACCUGGAUAAGCCAAGCAGAAAGCCAGUUGGGCCUGUCAGUCUGCUGCCUUCUUCUUCAGCAGUAGCCACCUGGCCGUGUCAGUGCUAUCUAACCCUCUCUGUACGUUCUGCUUUAUCUGCUAAAGCUCUGCGUGUGGCUACAAAGUCCACUCUGUGUCUUUAGUUGUUCAGUUAUCAUGACGGAAUACAAGCUUGAAUGAACCAGGAAGACAUUAGAGGAAUACAUUAAUACAUUUGUGUGUGUUCAUUAGCAUUUUUUGGAAAUGUGUGACAUCAUACAUCCUCAUAUGUGUACAGUGUCAGUGGUCAUGUACAAAUAACUAAUCUUGACUCAUUUAUUACCUUAUUACAUUAUAUUACAUAAUUUUCUCUCUCUUUCCAAU